AUUGAACGCUGGCGGCAGGCCUAACACAUGCAAGUCGAACGGUAGCACAGAGAGCUUGCUCUCGGGUGACGAGUGGCGGACGAGUGAGUAACGUCUGGGAAACUGCCCGAUGGAGGGGGAUAACUACUGGAAACGGUAGCUAAUACCGCAUAACGUCACAAGACCAAAGUGGGGGACCUUCGGGCCUCACACCAUCGGAUGUGCCCAGAUGGGAUUAGCUAGUAGGUGGGGUAAUGGCUCACCUAGGCGACGAUCCCUAGCAGGUCUGAGAGGAUGACCAGCCACACUGGAACUGAGACACGGUCCAGACUCCUACGGGAGGCAGCAGUGGGGAAUAUUGCACAAUGGGCGCAAGCCUGAUGCAGCCAUGCCGCGUGUAUGAAGAAGGCCUUCGGGUUGUAAAGUACUUUCAGCGGGGAGGAAGGCGGUGAAGUUAAUAGCUUCACCGAUUGACGUUACCCGCAGAAGAAGCACCGGCUAACUCCGUGCCAGCAGCCGCCGCCG
rnacentral:rRNA from 1 species